UUUAAAAAAAUUCUAUAAAAUAAGAUCUUAAUUUGAUCUCAUUUUUAUUUAUUGUAAACCACUGUGGAUCCCAUCCUAGGACUCUGUCUGCAUGAGUCAAAUAAAAUGUUCCUCCCAUGGCAAUGAGGCUGGAUGUUGCCCGGCCAGUUCAACACAGAAUGUGAUGUAUAACAUCCAUUUUCUAAAAAAAACACCUCACCUUUUGCUCCAGAACUUCCUGGAAGAUCUGGCAUCCUCUGUUUUGAUACAGGACGACUGUUUACAACACAUCCUUCUGUGCCACCAGCUACUCCUGGAGUAUUCUGGCUCAUGUAGACCCAGACUAGGGGGGGAAAUGGGACUUAAAUUCAAUAAAUAAGUAAGAAGGAGACAAAGCCUGCAACUUCCUGAAAUUACCAAUAUGCUGUCAGGAUCCCAGAAAGAGAAGUGGUAAUUACAUGAGUAAAAACUGUGAUAUCCCAAUAUAUUUGACUAAUCUGGAUGAGCUCGAAGAUACUUUUGAGGCCACAUGUUAUCUGUUUAUAACAGAUCUGAUUAUGCCCCUCUUCAAAACAUAUGUUGUUCUGGAAGUUUUCUGAGCAAAUAUAGUUGAAUAUUGUCUGUUGUUACCUGUUGUUUUUUUUCUGGUUACUGUUUGUACCUUGAAUCAUGAAAUAUAGUUGGCAGGAGAGGGAGGAAACUAUUAUUGAAAGUUCUUUUCUUUUUUUAAAAAAAUGCAAACAAUCUUUCCAGUCGUAUUUACUUUAACAGUUUGUACACUAGAGCAGCAACUACUGCAGUUCAGGUAAACAACAGGUGUCAUUUACAGCAAAAAUUGUCCAUGGAAAUAACAAUAUCUUAAAAUUGACAAAAAUAUCUCACCUUUUUCUGCACAGUUAUACUAUUGGUGUGUGUGUGUGUGUGUGUGUGUGUGUGUGUUAGAGAGAGAGAGAGAGAUGAUUCCACUUCGUGGAAUUCUGGAAUUUGAAAAGGCUCCAGAGUUCUCUGGCUGAGACUUCUAAGUAUCCCUUCUUAAACUACAAAACCCCAGGAUUCCAUGGGAUGGAAUCAUUUAAGUUUAUAUUGAAUCAUAUUCUUAUAACUGUCAUGGAAAAAAAUCCCUGAUCUGCAGGGGAGGAGAAACAUUCUGCAGUUUCUCAUCCUUGCACAAGAAAAUGAGAGAAACAGCAAUUUGUAUCCAUAAUAUUUACUAACAAAGAAAAACUGUAAUAUUCUAUUUUCCUAUUCCCGUAAAAUCAAGCCAUUAUCACUCUCACAGAGGAUAAAAAUAGUAAAACUUAGCCUAUAUUUUUCCACGAAAGGAAGGAAAGAAAAAUGCUGUUUCUUUUCCCCCUGUGAUAUUUAUCAGAUUGUUUCUUUUUGCCUUGUGAUAUUCAUUAGAUCAGCCUUUCACAGCCUAUUGCAGUCCAAGCAUCUGCAGCCAACAUGAUCAGGCCUGCUGGGAAUGAAAGAAGUUAUAGUCCAGCACAACACCUUGGUAAAGUCUGCCACCAGUCAGUAGAAAUUAAUCCUAUGCUACACAUUAUCCAGUAAGAAAUAUUAUUAUUGUUGUGUAUGCCUUAAAGUCAUUUCUGACUUAUGACAACCCUAAGGCAAACCUAUCACAGGGUUUUCAUGGCAAGAUUUGUUCAGAGUGGGUUGUCUUUGCCUUCCUCUGAGGCUGAGAGAGUGAGAUCUGCCCAAAGUCGCCCAGUGAGUUUCCUUGGCUGAGCAGGGAUUCGGAGGCUGCCCUUGUGGCAGCUGGGCCCCGAUCUGGCGGGGAAAGGGCCGCUUACAGGCCGCCCCAAACGGGCAGUCUGUAACCUGACAAAAGCACUAGAAGAGAAAGAGCAGUUCCCAUAUCUCAAUGUUUUCCCAUUAUAGAACAUGCACGUUUUCCCCCAAUUUACUUUAUUCCUUUUCUUUGUUUCAUAUCAUCUUGAGAAUAAUGAAUUCAUCUGCCCUAAAGACAGACAUUAUUAGUUGACAAAGGAAUUCCCCCAUGCUGUGUGCAAGCUGCAACUCCAGAAAUUUCUGGUCAGAGCCCCUGAAGAAGGCCAUUUGGUGACCAGGCUGAAACACAUUGGCUGAAACAUUUUAAGAUAAUAAAGUUUUUGGACCAUCAACAGCAUGUGAAUUUUGGACAAAAUUUCUGGAUUCAUACACUUAAUACCCUAACCCUCAACCCAGAGGACAAUGCCAUCCUCCACCAAACUAUGGUGAAAGCAGAGUUCCAGACUGCAAACUUGGAUGCAAAUCAGUUUCUCAACUUUAGCAUCUGAAAAAGGAGGAAUCCAAAAUGUU